CUUCAAAGCCAAGAGUAAUGGCAAAUUUGUUUCCCGUAUUCGGAUUAUCAUCAGAUUCAGACCAAGAACACAGUUCUAGUUUCUGGAAUUUAAAGACAUGCAGAGAGGUAAAGUGACAAGCUUAAUUUCAUUACACAAAAGAAACAUAUUCAACCCGAUUUGCGUAUGUAAAUUGUUCAUUCAAUACCUUUUUCAUUGUUGUUCAGAUCGUAACACUAAACCCACUUUCACACAGAUCCUGGUAGCCUCAUCGAUCGGGAUCAUUGUUGCCGCAGCAGUGCGGUAUCAUGUAAAGAAGCGAAGGGAUCAAAAGAUCAUU
rnacentral:lncRNA from 1 species